UGUCAUUAUUUUUUACUCCAAAGAAAAUUUCUUACAUGCAAAUUCAUGAACUGCAUACUCAUUAACAUACAACGAUCCAUUGAAUGUACUACAGACCAAAGGGAUAAUAAGAAUAAACAGGAGAAUCUCAAAACUCACAAUCAACAAAAACCAGAGCCUGCAGAAGGGUAGAGAAAUACACUUCACUUAUCAUGACUAGACCUGAUAUUAUCUUUGAACGACUGUGAACGAGAACUGGGAUUAGAGCCAUUUGUUGCAUUAAACAGGUUGGGAUAAGAAUAAUAUGUCUCACCAACCACAGAGAUUGCCUUCCAUGGACGAUGAGACAUAUUAUUCUUA
rnacentral:misc_RNA from 1 species